ACCAGGUGCCAUCAGCCUGGCAGGUGCUGGCCUCGGCCCCGGCCAGGCUGUAGCCGCUGUCGCAGUGGAAGUGGACAGUGGAGCCCACCAGUUUGGCCGCCUCACUCGCCUGGCUGGGGCUGGAGGUGGUCUCCUCGGGGAAGAGGGGCAGGAAAUUGGGGUCAUGCUUGGGCCGAAGCAGGAAGUUUUCCACCAGGAACUUGGAGUCGUAGGUCGGUCCCAGAGGCCUCCAGCAGCACGUACUCGCCGCGUCCGUUGAAUGUGAAGUUGGUGCCAUCGAAGGUGACAAAGUGUGGGUCCCCGAAAGUGGAGGCUGUGGAGAGCGGAGGGUCAGGUAGGUUGCCCUGGCCCCGCCCUGCCUGGGGCCCCGCCCUGGCCAGCACCUGCCCAGGCAGCACCCACCCAGGCGCGGGGGCUGGUAGCUGCGGCAGUCACUGGAGGGCCGCCUCUGCAUGUAGCGGGAGCACUCGGGCGCCCAGAGGCAGCAGUAGUAGAAGCUGAUGACAUCGUAGAUCCAGUGGGAGAGGCCCGGCACGCGGGGCGGCACGCGGUAUGGGGGUGCGCCCCAGUCGUGGCCGCGGUCCGGGGUGCUGCCACUGGUGGAGUCGGCUGUCAGGAGCUGUGUGCCCGCCGCCGUGUAGCAGCACUGCUGGCCUGAGCCAUAUAGGGGGCUGGGGGCACAGACAGGUCAGGGCCGCCUUGGCAUCCUGCCCCCAGCCCCCACCCCGCACCCUGCCCACCGUCUCUGGGCUCACCUGGCUUGCACGGAGCGAACGCAGUGCACAGCCCCUGGGUGAUAGGUGCACACGCUGCCAUGCUCGAUGUCACAGCCGUAGUCCGCCUGCAGAGCGGCUGGUUGCUGUCCCCUGCACUGGCUUUGGGCUCUGUCAUCCCCUCCCUGGGAGCCAACCCCUCUGGGGCCCUGGGCCCUCAGACCCCAACCUUACCUCCCAGGUCUCUACCUGCCUCCCCCUGCACUG